UAUGCCAUGAUGAAUUAAUGGUAGCUAGGAUUUAGAAUUUAGUUCUCUCUCCUGAUUGACUAACUAGGACUCCCUCUCUUGCCAACCCUGCUUUGGGAAUAAGCAGACACAAAGCAUACCAUACUUCCAGGCCCACUUAAUCACUAGUCCAUCUCAGACCCAUACCUGAAUGAUAGGAGAACAAACAAAAGAAAGAAUAAAAAAGGUUGAGGAAUCCUAUGUAUGUACCACAGUUAUCUCGAAUUUUUUUUGAGAAAGACGGUGACGAAAAUUGUAAGCUGAGUCUGGCUCCAAUGUGAAGAUUGUAGCCACACCACAGGCAUUAUCUCCUAUACUUACAUUGUGGUUGUUAGUUUACUCUUUCAAAUGUGAGAAGAGAGAUCUUGAAGGCAAAACAUAAGGCAUUCGUGAACAAAGAGAAGCGCCCUUCUUUCUGGUGCCACAGAAAGGUGAAGCAGCCAAAGAGGUAGACAGAUGAAGAAUUUCCCUGGGAAUAUCUGGCUACAACUACAUAUUACCUCAUCUCUGGAAAUGUGAAUGAACUUCCAGACAGGUCAUCAUCUAGUCCAUUGCUACUCAACAUCUACCCAGAGGACAAAAUCAGAACAUAAAGAUUAUCAGCAUGGUUUGUUGAGUGCUACCCUCUUUUUUGCAUUAGGAGUCCUGAUACGAGAAUGUGGAGCGAGCUACUGACAUCCCUCUUCCUGAACUUCUGUGUCAUUCUGAAUUCCAGCUAGCACCUGAAGACAACAAUCCAGGUCUCAGGGAAGGAAAUUAGAGCCUUAACAAAUUCCCCAGCCAAAUGGAAAGCUUGAGACCCGGGGAUAUCCUCUGAUAUUGAGAGCUGCCUUUUCAAAGUACCACGUUCAAUCUGCUGCUAAGCCUUCAAAAUUGUAAGGACAAGUAAUGAACUUCCAGGAAGUCAGUGCUUUCACAAACCUGAGAUCGAGGUGCCAAGAUCUAAGCCCAAUGACAUGUUAUGGUUUCCUUUUCUGAACACUUCUGGAAUUGUGAGCCUUCCCAAGACAAGAGAAUGCAGUGUACCUGCAAUGUCUCAGUGUGUAAGAAAACAGUUGGAGGCCACAAAAUCACAAAAUCUGUUAUUUGUCUUGGCUAGCUGGGAUAAAAAGAGGAAUGAUCAAGCCCAACCAGAACCUAACAGAAAAGUUUCUUUGCUACCAGGAAUCUAAAACCAGUGACUCUAACAGUGAGUGUGCAACAAUGAAUACUGUAGAAGAGAAACAGGGAGAUUGAUGGGAAGUGCAUUCUAACAGGUGGGAGGGAAAGCCUGGCAAAUAUACU